GGCUAAGUUUAAAAUGACACUAUGAAAUUCGUAUGGAAAUCACUAAGGCUUUCAUCUAGCUGUUACCCACUUAGCACGGAUCUGAUAUACCCCAAUGUCACCCAGUAAAGAGACUGGAACAUCAACGAACUUUGGCCUAGCGCAAAGCUGUUUUUGCCGGUCGCACCGGAGAACUUUCUUUUGACAUUGGUUCCUUGGAGGAGGAGAGAGGGGAAGGCGGGCGGAGAGAGCAACAGCUGUGCACCGAGCCCCAAAAUGGCACAGGUCUCGAAAGCCUGAAAACUCCACCAAAUUUUAUAGACUUACUUGACUUUUCGUACCAUAAAGAUAAUUUAGAAGAGCUGUAAUUUAUAAAAGGCGGCCAUAAGAUAAUUUGAAACUUAAAAUUUUGAUUAUGACUG
ensembl:ncRNA asRNA:CR44293 antisense RNA:CR44293